GGCUGAAUAAAUAACCCUGAGUCCCUGCAGUGCGUGUGAGCAGCGUUCACCUCCAUAAUUGAAAUGCGUUCAGAGAGAACUUGAGUUUUACCUUCCUAAUUCAUUCUCUGGACUUUGGAUAAGCCCAAAUCACAGCAAGCUUCUGGCUGUGUACUAGUGCUGGACGAGUUCAUGUCCCAUCACGUGUGCACCAGGGCAAUCCUGGAGGCCUCUUUCUCCAUCAAGGCAUUCCACAGACACAGCAUGUCAAUCCAUCCUCUUUGCAGAAUUCCCAGGAGCGAUGUGCACGAGCAGCAUCCCAACUCUCUCAGCUGAGAUUCACUGGACCCCAUGGGGCUCUGCAGGGGCUUAAAACAUCCCCACCGCCUUCUGCCUCGGAUAGCAGGUAAUAAUUCACCCCCAAAUAACACCUUACUGAGCAAAGCUGAACGCAGUGCUCCCCAAAGAGGCGGCCCGU
rnacentral:lncRNA from 1 species